GAUGAACGCUGGCGGCGUGCCUAAUACAUGCAAGUCGAGCGAACAGACGAGGAGCUUGCUCCUCUGACGUUAGCGGCGGACGGGUAAGUAACACGUGGAUAACCUACCUAUAAGACUGGGAUAACUUCGGGAAACCGGAGCUAAUACCGGAUAAUAUAUUGAACCGCAUGGUUCAAUAGUGAAAGACGGUUUUGCUGUCACUUAUAGAUGGAUCCGCGCCGCAUUAGCUAGUUGGUAAGGUAACGGCUUACCAAGGCGACGAUGCGUAGCCGACCUGAGAGGGUGAUCGGCCACACUGGAACUGAGACACGGUCCAGACUCCUACGGGAGGCAGCAGUAGGGAAUCUUCCGCAAUGGGCGAAAGCCUGACGGAGCAACGCCGCGUGAGUGAUGAAGGUCUUCGGAUCGUAAAACUCUGUUAUUAGGGAAGAACAAAUGUGUAAGUAACUAUGCACAUCUUGACGGUACCUAAUCAGAAAGCCACGGCUAACUACGUG
rnacentral:rRNA from 1 species